CACUCAAGGUACACUCAAUUACUGAAAUAGCCAUAAAUUGAAUGAAAGGAAACACCAAACACAUUAAAGAUCCAGCGAAAAUCCAGAGAAAUUUCACAGAAAUAAUUAAUGUGUGAUCCAAAAAUGAUCAUCAAUUCAACCGAGAAAAUAUCUUACUAGAUUCAUCCAAAUGAACCAACAAAGAACAUUAUUGCAAAGAAAAUGAAAUUAUAGAAACAAGAGAGAACACAAUUUUUUAAUCCACACACUUUGAGAUUCGAUGAAAAUCCUCAGAGAAAACGAAAAACAAAAUCCACUGAAAGUCUGAAACCCAUUUUAUCAUCAUAUAGCUAAAAAAUUUAUCGUGAAAAUAUGACUGACCUAAUUUUUUUGUCAAGAAUCUUAUUAUUACUUACUUCUCGAUCGAUUUCUCUGGAAUAGAACUGAUAUCCAUCCUCAGAAAUUCUUGUCCAGUUUUUGAUAGAAUAACCAUGAGGCAACCGUCAAAAUUGCAAAACGAACCGCACAUAAUUGCAAAACGAACCGCACAUAAAAUGAAAACCCUCAGAAAAUUCUCCAAAAGAAAUCCAGUGAAGCCCAAAAUGAUCAUCCGUUCGACCAAAGAACAAUGCCCUUAAUUGAAACUAUCCAUCUAGAUUCAUUCCAUGUAUGAAUAAAGAACAUGAUAAUCAUAUAGCCAAAUAAAUUACAGAAAUUUUCGUACAAAAGUGUCUCUCUGUUUUCUUGUUAAUUUUCUAAUUCUUCCAUCUUCAAAAAUACUUGCCCAGUUCCUCUUGAGAGAGAAACCCCAAAACUCGUCGCCUCUCUGGCUCUCUCUGAAG
rnacentral:lncRNA from 1 species